rnacentral:sRNA from 1 species
AUUAGAUGUCAUGUGUAUGAGUGAGUAUACCAACUAGAACCACAAUUGGAAUUUUAAAAGCCUAAGUAUUAUAUCCUUGUUAGAAGAUACAAAGACAAAGACUCAUACGGACUUUGGCUACACCAUCAAAGCUUUUAGAAGCAAGAAGAAGCUUGGUUAGUGUUUUGGAGUCGAAUAUGACUUGAUGUGAUGUGUAUGAUUGAGUAUAAGAAAUUAAACCGCAACCGGAACUUAAAAGCCUAAGUAUUGUUUUCUUGUUAGAAGAAACAAAGC